GAAAAUACUCUGGGAAUAGUCAAACUGACAAACCAGUUGCAGUGAGAAUACUGUUUUCCUCGAUUUAAUUGAAUGUUAUGUUUUUUCAUGAACACUAUUAAAUGCUAAACCGUAAGCUUAUUUUUCACACUACAUUAUCAAAAUAAUUUUUGCCUUAGAAUUUUUUUAGAUCAAGUUGAAGUUAUUUUUAUAAGAAACCCAACCUAUUUUUUACAGCCUAAAAUACCACUUAAGGUUAGGUUUUCUUCCUCAUUCCAACAAGAGAAAACCAACAUAAAGGUAGUAAGUGAUCUUUGCAUACUUUUAAGUAAUCUUGACAUUUAUUGUUGAGAAAAGAGGAGUAGCAAAAUGAAAAGUUCUAAAUUGGUGCUUUACUAAAGUGUUGGUAGGUCAUGAAAUAAGUACAUUAAUAAUUUUCUGUCAACCUUAAAAAGUGUCAAAACAUCUUUGUAGAGUAAGUGUAAAAUGUUAGGUAAAGGUUAAUGUACAAUAUCAUUUAUUGCCUUUUACUCUGCAAUUGCAAAAAAGCAAUGUAGUUGAUGUAUUUAUAAUCUUGACGUCUCUCCCCACCAUAUCACUCCAAUAUGUCAUUGAUGAAAAGUCGGAUUUUGACCUUUAGCUCUUUGACAGUGUCCCUUUAUUGUCAUCUUUCUUUGUGCCUUUUCAAAGGGUUGUAGUUGGUUAGACUUGAAGUUAGAUUGUACUUGUUAAUAAAUGUUUUGGUUGUUUUGGGUUUGGGUUUUGUUGUUUUGAUUAUGGGUCUUAUGUUUGUGUUGCCUGCUGGUUGGGCAGUAAUUUUUUUAGGUUGCUCUGUGUUUAUAUAGGAAAAUUGGCACUGCGUACUAGAGAAAAAUUGGUUUUAUGAUUUAUAUUAUCAUUUUUAAAAACCUUUAUUGUGGCCUUUGUAAUUAUGUGAAGCCACCAUUGGGCCUGUCUGUAGAUGCUUAUUAGAAAGAUCUGACAAAUAAAAUAGAAUGAGUAGCAUCUCCCCCCCCCCCCAAUAACCAGAUAACCAGUUACUGUAACUGUCCACUUCUGCACAGAGUGACUUCUCACUUUAGUUUGCCUAAAAGUGAACCAGAAGUGCUCGUUUGAGAUGAGUUUCUCAUUUGGAGCAGCAGCAACCUGCCCAACAUAUAACUUGAUCAACUCAGAAAAAUUGAGGACCUUUAAACAGUCAUAGUUAGAUAGUCUUAAGUUCUAGUGCCAAAUUUAAAAUGACUGAAACUGUGUUCUUUAAUAAGGAAUAAGUAGUAGCAUUUCCAAAACUUUAAGUAGUAUUAUGGUAUAUGUUACAAUUACAGUAAAUAAUGGAGAGUGUGAGAAUAAUUUUCUGAGCACUUUCUGGAAACUCCACAACUCCAUAGAUCUUACCUUUUUUUUUGCACAUUUCCCUCAGUAUAGUCUGUAGCAUUAUUUUGGGCAUCUUCCCUUAUUUCCUCUAAAAUAUUUUUACUUAAGAUACUUUGUCCCUACAAUAUUAGCAUGGCUCGUGCUCUAGCAUUAAUAAAAUAGAAAUAACAGGAUUAGAUUGUGUAAAAGAUUGUUUUGAUAGUCCUUAGAUUUGCUUACUCUUCUUGUUUUCAACUUGCUGUGUAUUGAUCUUAAUUCUCUGACUCUUGAAAAACCCCACGACAAUUUAAAUUUAUUCUCUGCAGCCGUUUAAGUACAGAGAAAUUAAUGUUUGUACUCAGACAAUAAGGGUUAUACAACAGUGAACACAACCUUUUUUUUUUUAAAUUAGAUUUUUAAAAAAGUAAUUGCAGCGCUUGCAUCACUGUUGGCGAUUCUAAAACCUUUUCUGAAGAGCAUGUACCCAUCUCAUCAUUCCUCAGCCUCUUUGCUUGAUAUUCCUGCUUGCAUUAAAGUUGGACAAUGUACUGGGGUGUAAUUAUGACGUUUUUUAUUCCUUCUAGCAAUCAGACUCUUUCUUAACCCAUAGAUAAAAUGAUUACAGUGGAUGAGUGUGGCUGCCAAAAAAAUGAUACAAAACUGGAUAUAUAGCUGCUCCGUGAUGUGUAGUAAAUGUUAUGAUGAAGGGGGUUUCCGAUGUACAUUAAAGUGGAAAUGCUUUUGAAUUUGCUUUCAAUCUCAGACCAUAACUUUUGUUUUUAAUUAAGGACACUUUAAAAAAGCAAUUACAAAGAAAACUAAAAUAUGAAAAAUUCAUUAUUGUCAACUUGGUGUCAAAGUAUCUUGUGAGUUUUAAUAGAUAAUUUUGUUUUGUCUCAUGUUUCUUAAGUAUGAAUGUCUUUAUAGAAAAAUUCAGUUCUCUGUGAAGAAUAGGAGGUG
ensembl:lncRNA